AGAGUUUGAUUAUGGCUCAGGAUGAACGCUAGCUACAGGCUUAACACAUGCAAGUCGAGGGGCAUCGGGAUGUAGCAAUACAUUGCCGGCGACCGGCGCACGGGUGAGUAACACGUAUCCAACCUGCCUUUUUACUCGGGGGAUAGGCUUUCGAAAGAAAGAUUAAUACCCGAUGGUAUAAUCUUUCCGCAUGGAAUUAUUAUUAAAGAAUUUCGGUAAAAAGAUGGGGAUGCGUUCCAUUAGGCAGUUGGCGGGGUAACGGCCCACCAAACCUUCGAUGGAUAGGGGUUCUGAGAGGAAGGUCCCCCACAUUGGAACUGAGACACGGUCCAAACUCCUACGGGAGGCAGCAGUGAGGAAUAUUGGUCAAUGGACGAGAGUCUGAACCAGCCAAAGUAGCGUGAAGGAUGACUGCCCUACGGGUUGUAAACUUCUUUUAUAGGGGAAUAAAGUGAGCCACGUGUGGCUUUUUGUAUGUACCUUAUGAAUAAGGAUCGGCUAACUCCGUGCCAGCCGCGGC
rnacentral:rRNA from 1 species